AAGACUAUAGACCUGCGGAGUACCUGCGGAAGGAUCAUUACCGAGUUAGGGUUCCUCUCACGGGCCCGACCUCCCAACCCUCUGUCUAUCACACCUUGUCGUUGCUUCGGUGGACCGGCCGAGGACUUCUGGUCCUGGGCCGCCGGGGGUGUUUGUCACCCCGGGAGCGCGUCCGCCGAUGGCCCAACUACAACUUCUUUGUUCCAAACCGGUCGUCUAAAUCAAACUUGAUCAAUAAAU
rnacentral:misc_RNA from 1 species